rnacentral:rRNA from 1 species
AAGUCGUAACAAGGUUUCCGUAGGUGAACCUGCGGAAGGAUCAUUGCCGAUUUAUCAUCUGGGGGGGGGGGAGAGUCCUCUCUCUCCCCGACCGACACCUCCGUGCACUCUGGGAGGGCGCCCGAAAGGGAGGCCCCUCCCGUCUUUGACGAACGCCUCGUAGUCUCGCGCGUGUCAGAUAUAAAUUAAAAAUUGAAACACAACUUUCAACAACGGAUCUCUUGGCUUUCGCAUCGAUGAAGAACGCCGCGAACGCGCGAAACGUAAUGUGAAUUGCAGAAUUCAGUGAAUCAUCGAAUCUUUGAACGCACCUUGCGCUCCUCGGUAUUCCGAGGAGCAUGCCUGUUUGAGUGUCGUGAAGUCUUAUCGAAAAGGGGAGGGCUUUUUCGGCCCUCCUCUUUUCGGACUUGGACGGUCUUGCCCUUGCCUGGUCGAAGGCUCGUCUUCAAAUUCAUCGGCGAGGUUCCGUCCCCUAACGCUUCCCCCGGUCUAGACGUGAUAAGUCUUUUGCGUCGUCCGCGGGGGGGUUCGUGCGGAAAAGGGACCCGUCACCGACUCUUUCAUUCAAACGCCUUGACCUCAAAUCAGGAAGAUUACCCGCUGAACUUAA